GAAUAUUGGACAAUGGGCGCAAGCCUGAUCCAGCCAUGCCGCGUGCGGGAAGAAGGCCUUCGGGUUGUAAACCGCUUUUGUCGGGGAAGAAAUCUUUCGGGCUAAUACCUCGGAAGGAUGACGGUACCUGAAGAAUAAGUACCGGCUAACUACGUGCCAGCAGCCGCGGUAAUACGUAGGGUGCAAGCGUUAAUCGGAAUUACUGGGCGUAAAGCGUGCGCAGGCGGUACUGCAAGACAGGUGUGAAAUCCCCGGGCUCAACCUGGGAACUGCACUUGUGACUGCAGGGCUGGAGUGCGGCAGAGGGGGAUGGAAUUCCGCGUGUAGCAGUGAAAUGCGUAGAUAUGCGGAGGAACACCGAUGGCGAAGGCAAUCCCCUGGGCCUGCACUGACGCUCAUGCACGAAAGCGUGGGGAGCAAACAGG
rnacentral:rRNA from 1 species